rnacentral:rRNA from 1 species
GACGAACGCUGGCGGCAUGCCUAACACAUGCAAGUCGAACGAGACCUUCGGGUCUAGUGGCGCACGGGUGCGUAACGCGUGGGAACCUGCCCUUAGGUUCGGAAUAACUCCCCGAAAGGGGUGCUAAUACCGGAUAAUGUCUUCGGACCAAAGAUUUAUCGCCUUUGGAUGGGCCCGCGUUGGAUUAGCUAGUUGGUAGGGUAAAAGCCUACCAAGGCGACGAUCCAUAGCUGGGCUGAGAGGAUGAUCAGCCACACUGGGACUGAGACACGGCCCAGACUCCUACGGGAGGCAGCAGUGGGGAAUAUUGGACAAUGGGCGAAAGCCUGAUCCAGCAAUGCCGCGUGAGUGAUGAAGGCCUUAGGGUUGUAAAGCUCUUUUACCCGGGAUGAUAAUGACAGUACCGGGAGAAUAAGCACCGGCUAACUCCGUG